rnacentral:misc_RNA from 1 species
ACCAACUGAUAAGAAUCACCGUUUGAACUUCGUUAUAUUUACCCGCCCAUGACGAGAGGUCUCCCUGUGAAUCAACUGAGAUGGCUCAUGUAAUUGGUCCAGCUAUACGGAGAAAUGAAGUGCCAACAUUUUAAACGACAGGAUGAAAACGCCUUGUAUUUUCCCAUUAUGAAAAUGCUAUGAAACGGUAGAAGAAUAUUGAAUCCUAAAAUCUGCACAAACGAAAAAGUACGUAGUGAUACACACCAAGGCUUUUAAUGCGAAAAUCGUGAUGUGAAUUCAAGCCGUUAUCCCAUUGCACCUUUCAAUCCGUAGAAACCAGAUUAUCGUUUCCAGUAUAAACAUUGCACUAAAGCGAUGAGACCGCCCAUAGAGAUGAAGGGGCAGGUCUGUGACUCAAAUCAUUGCACCCUAUGUAAGUAAUGACCAAACUAUUAUACUUAAGGAAUAGUAUAUUCUUUAUCAGUAAUAGACGUAGCCAGCUAUCUGGCGGAAAUCCAAGCCUUCACUAGUAGUGUCAACCGUAGCUUAAUCAGCAAGACAAGCCUUGUGAACUUUGAAACACAACACUCGUGUAAAUGUGUAACUGUUAAUGCAUUCGACUGAUUGUCGUGGCUUAUAUGUAUUUUCAUUAGGUAAUUUCAAUUAAGCAAGGUCUUUGUUUUGCUAAACAAUGGGGCAGUAUUUUCCAGUACUUUUCUUUAUGCAGUAACAUUUUUUCUUGUUAUUAUUAUUAUUUUUUUCCGUUGUCAUCAGCGUAAAACAAAAGGGUGGGGCGUCGCUAUCAACGUUUUAUCUGCUGUCUCCUUGGCUUCGACAGUCACCCGAUUCAGAUUCUUCAGAACUGUUUACAAUGCAGUCAAAGUAAACGACGCGUGCUAUGUCUAAUUUUUUUUUCAAUGGAAAUUUGAAUCUCAUGGAAAAACGAAUGUUUCGCGGAAUCUACCAGAUUUUAUUGACACCGUGGCGAUUCUGUGUUUUUCACGUGUUAAACUCUUGUGUUAUUAUACAACAACAAAGUUUUAUUUUGCCAUGGAGGCAAUAUUCUUUUUUACUUCACUUUUUCUUAGAUAUGUGAGCAUAUCGACGUUAUGCAAGGAAUCUAGUUGAUCUGCAUACCGGUUUUCCUGUUGACUGCAAGAUGUUAGUUAAGCCGAAAGAUAUUCCCAUCUUUUGCUGAACAACCUGUGAAAGAGACUUGUGGUCUUUUAUACUGCACAAUACAUGACUCUGAUUUAGUCGGAAGGACAAAACUGAAGAAAAUCUUGUCGCCAAAGUUCAAAGCCGUUAAUCCAUCGAAUUUCGAGAGCUUCAAACAUUGAAUGACCGCUAAUGACGCCCCUCAUGGCCAAAUGUAACAAAAAACUAGUUAAAAGGCCGAAUUACGUUAAUCGAAAAUCAAAAAUUAAAAUACACAAACAAUGUGUUUCAAUUUGGCAAGACUGGGCAAAACAAAAAUGGCAUGUCAGCCUUUCCCGCCAGUUCAAUGUUUGUCGACAACGUAAAAAGUACAGUAUUUGUCGGACAGCAAACUUGUACUCAGGUAGCUAGUAAUCAUACAUAGAUCUCUUCGACCUCGGAUGACCUAGUAAAUAACUGAUCAAUGAACAGGGGAAAAGCGAUUUCUCAUAUUUUCUCCAUGGAUAUUGCAGAAUCACUGGUGACACUAUUGGAAUAGAAGGCCACGUUGACACGUGAAAAUGAAACCCAUGGCAGCACAGUCAUCUCCUACAACAGAAAUAAAAGAUGAGAUAAAUGGGGGUGGAUACAAACAAGGCUCAAUUCGACAUUUCAAAAAUUCUUUUUACGAGGAUAAUAUACCAAAGGAAGAUUCUUUAUCUCUCUCUGCUGACAUCAGGGAUUUGUCGUUUGCCGCAUUUUCACUCGAAUCCAAUGUCCCGUAUCAAAAGUCGAUUCAUUCCGAUUACAGUUUACGUUCUUAUUCUGCUACGGUCUCUACAAGCGCGAAAAUUGGCAGUAGUCAGAAAAAACGUUCUUAUUUUGACUUCAUGAAUAUUAAUUCUAAUGAAAGUAGUGGCAAUCUUUCAAAAAUAAGUGAACCCAAUCUAAAUGAACUAGAAGAGAUCGUGGAUACAUUCGGGGAGUAUGAUGAAAUAGAUGGCUUCGUGUUUCGCUCCUUUACGACGAUGGAUCACCUGGAAAAGUUUGUGUCUAGAAGUGCAUCCCAUCAAGUGACGUUUCGCACAAGUUCCCAUUCUCCUCAUCAAGAGAAAGGCAUGUCAUAUUGUCGAACGUCUGGACCGUCAUCUCCAGAUUUUCUCAGAGAAGAUACUGGCAAAAUUGAUGCUUCAUUUCGCUCUCUUUCAGUGGAACCUUACUGCGAAGACUAUGAGGUACCUCGUCCAGAUAUUUGGAAUAAGCGACGAUUGGUAGACGGAUGUGAUAAACGUUUUUGCAAUAUGGGUUGCAUUUGCGAUAGCUUGAAUUCAGUUAAACCUCCAUUAGCGCAUUGCAACCACUCUGAAUGUAUGUGCCAUGAUGUAUGUGUUUACAAAUCCAGCCUUAGACGCUACGUAUCAUCUUCAUCGACCGAGUGCGAUACGUGUCGAGAAUCUUCUGAUUUCGAUUUAUUACUCAUUGAGCAGUUUCUGCCAAAACAAUGGCCCCUCUUGAAAAAGGAACUUGCUUUACAAAAGGAGAUUAUCUAUCAGCUACAGCAUCAGCUAAAUAGCAAACAACUUGAAGUGAAUAAGCUGAGAAACCAGCUUGUGAAAAACGUUAUCGUAAAAAAUCCCGCCAGCCCACACCCGUUGGUAGCGACAAAAAAUGUAGCAUAUCCCUCGGUGAAAAAGGCUAGGACAAAAUUGGAGGCAAUGGUGGAAACUAAAGAAGAGGCAAACGCGGCGACACGCGUACAUUUGGACGGGACUCGCUUCCGUUUGAUGAUGUGGUUCUUGACAGACUUUCUGAAAGCAUAUCCGUCACAGCAUUUAUCCGACACCUAAUGCGGGACAUGUUCACCGAAGAUUUUCUGUCAUCAAGAAGUUCUAGGUGGAUGAAAGAGGAACAUAAGACCGCCAUAAUAGAUGCCACAAUGAGGAGAUUCCACAUUUAUUAUCGGAGAGACGGCGAUUCUAUUCCACUGACUGUUGAAAUGGUCAAGCAGGUAAUAACAUCCGAAUUCAACAUCAAUCAAUCCAGGGAAAGGAUGAAAAGUAAAAAGCGA